AAUAGAUACCCUGGUAGUCCACGCCGUAAACGAUGAGUGCUAAGUGUUAGGGGGUUUCCGCCCCUUAGUGCUGCAGCUAACGCAUUAAGCACUCCGCCUGGGGGAGUACGGUCGCAAGACUGAAACUCAAAGGAAUUGACGGGGGGCCCGCACAAGCGGUGGAGCAUGUGGUUUAAUUCGAAGCAACGCGAAGAACCUUACCAGGUCUUGACAUCCCAUUGACCACUAUGGAGACAUAGUUUUCCCUUCGGGGACAACGGUGACAGGUGGUGCAUGGUUGUCGUCAGCUCGUGUCGUGAGAUGUUGGGUUAAGUCCCGCAACGAGCGCAACCCUUGUUCUUAGUUGCCAUCAUUUUAGUUGGGCACUCUAAGGAGACUGCCGGUGACAAACCGGGAGGAAGGUGGGGAUGACGUCAAAUCAUCAUGCCCCUUAUGACCUGGGCUACACACGUGCUACAAUGGACGGUACAAACGGUUGCCAACCCGCGGAGGGGGAGCUAAUCCGAAUAAAACCGUUCUCAGUUCGGAUUGUGGCUGCAACUCGCCUACA
rnacentral:rRNA from 1 species